AUGUUAACUUAUAAACUAUGGUUAAAAAAUAACUGAAUAGGUAGUUCAUAAUAAAAAAUAUCUCAAUAUACUAAUACAUAACUAUAUUCAUAAUCAAAGAAUGGACAAUAAUGGAUAGUUGAAACGUGAAACAAAAAAAGAUCUAAAUUUAUUAAAUUUGUCUAUCAAGAAAAAUUUACAAGAGUUACAAAAAGAUUUAUACCAAAAGAAAAAACAAACCGAAUCAAAUCAAAUCAAAUUUAGCGAAAUCGAACUUCAUAUGCUAUUUUCUUCCUCAUAGUCUUCUUCUUUCUAUUGCUCAUCUUCAAAUAUCUUCCCAAUAACCUAUACAUAAACAAAUCAAAUCAAAAAAUCAAAUCUAGCAAAAUCUUUCUUUGAAAAACGUAUCGAAGAAAAAGAAGAUGAACAGAUUAAGAACUAAAAAUAAAAAAAUCAUAUCUAGCCAAAUCUUUCUUUACCCACUCGGAUCUGUGGAAGGGAAAUUCAUACCUUAUCGUAUCUUUUCUUACACCGUCGCCAUUGUUGUGUUGCUAUCACUCGAAGAGAAAAGAUAUUAUAGAAAAAAGAAAAAAAACAUGGGAGAAAAGAGAGAACGGGAGAGAAAAAGAAAGAGAGAAGAUGUGUGGAGGUGGCAUAGAAGAGGGAUGAGAGGGAAAGUUGUCGUUAGGGAGAAUUUUUA
rnacentral:lncRNA from 1 species